AAUAGGUAUGCUUAGGGAGGAGCUUGCGUCACAUUAGUUAGUUGGUGGGGUAAAGGCCUACCAAGACUAUGAUGUGUAGCCGGGCUGAGAGGUUGAACGGCCACAUUGGGACUGAGACACGGCCCAAACUCCUACGGGAGGCAGCAGUAGGGAAUUUUCGGCAAUGGAGGAAACUCUGACCGAGCAACGCCGCGUGAACGAUGAAGUAUUUCGGUACGUAAAGUUCUUUUAUUAGGGAAGAAUAAAUGAUGGAAAAAUCAUUCUGACGGUACCUAAUGAAUAAGCCCCGGCUAACUAUGUGCCAGCAGCCGCGGUAAUACAUAGGGGGCAAGCGUUAUCCGGAAUUAUUGGGCGUAAAGGGUGCGUAGGCGGUUAAAUAAGUUUAUGGUCUAAGUGCAAUGCUCAACAUUGUGAUGCUAUAAAAACUGUUUAGCUAGAGUAAGAUAGAGGCAAGUGGAAUUCCAUGUGUAGUGGUAAAAUGCGUAAAUAUAUGGAGGAACACCAGUAGCGAAGGCGGCUUGCUGGGUCUUUACUGACGCUGAGGCACGAAAGCGUGGGGAGCAAACAGGAUUAGAUACCCUGGUAGUCCACGCCGUAAACGAUGAGUACUAAACGUUGGGUAAAACCAGUGUUGAAGUUAACACAUUAAGUACUCCGCCUGAGUAGUACGUACGCAAGUAUGAAACUUAAAGGAAUUGACGGGACUCCGCACAAGCGGUGGAUCAUGUUGUUUAAUUCGAAGGUACCCGAAAAACCUCACCAGGUCUUGACAUGCUUCUGCAAAGCUGUAGAAACACAGUGGAGGUUAUCAGUUGCACAGGUGGUGCAUGGUUGUCGUCAGCUCGUGUCGUGAGAUGUUGGGUUAAGUCCCGCAACGAGCGCAACCCUUAUUGUUAGUUACCAGCACGUAAUGGUGGGGACUUUAGCAAGACUGCCAGUGAUAAAUUGGAGGAAGGUGGGGACGACGUCAAAUCAUCAUGCCCCUUAUGACCUGGGCUACAAACGUGAUACAAUGGCUGUUACAAAGGGUAGCUGAAGCGCAAGUUUUUGGCGAAUCUCAAAAAAACAGUCUCAGUUCGGAUUGAAGUCUGCAACUCGACUUCAUGAAGUUGGAAUCGCUAGUAAUCGCG
rnacentral:rRNA from 1 species